rnacentral:rRNA from 1 species
GAUGAACGCUGACAGAAUGCUUAACACAUGCAAGUCAACUUGGACUUCGGUUUGGGUGGCGGACGGGUGAGUAACGCGUAAAGAACUUGCCUCACAGAUAGGGACAACAUUUGGAAACGAAUGCUAAUACCUGAUAUUAUGAUUUUAGGGCAUCCUAGAAUUAUGAAAGCUAUAUGCGCUGUGAGAGAGCUUUGCGUCCCAUUAGCUAGUUGGAGAGGUAACGGCUCACCAAGGCGAUGAUGGGUAGCCGGCCUGAGAGGGUGAUCGGCCACAAGGGGACUGGGACACGGCCCUUACUCCUACGGGAGGCAGCAGUGGGGAAUAUUGGACAAUGGACCAAGAGUCUGAUCCAGCAAUUCUGUGUGCACGAUGAAGUUUUUCGGAAUGUAAAGUGCUUUCAGUUGGGAAGAAAAAAAUGACGGUACCAACAGAAGAAGUGACGGCUAAAUACGUGCCAGCAGCCGCGGUAAUACGUAUGUCACAAGCGUUAUCCGGAUUUAUUGGGCGUAAAGCGCGUCUAGGUGGUUAUGUAAGUCUGAUGUGAAAAUGCAGGGCUCAACUCUGUAUUGCGUUGGAAACUGUGUAACUAGAGUACUGGAGAGGUAAGCGGAACUACAAGUGUAGAGGUGAAAUUCGUAGAUAUUUGUAGGAAUGCCGAUGGGGAAGCCAGCUUACUGGACAGAUACUGACGCUGAAGCGCGAAAGCGUGGGUAGCAAACAGG